AUGGCUCAGAACGAACGCUGGCGGCAGGCUUAACACAUGCAAGUUGAACGGGAUUCAGAGUAGCUUGCAUUUGGAUGAGAGUGGCGCACGGGUGAGUAAUACGUGGGAACAUACCUAUUGGUGGGGGAUAACGCUGGGAAACUGGUGCUAAUACCGCAUAAGCCCUACGGGGGAAAGAUUAAUUGCCGAUAGAAUGGCCCGCGGCAGAUUAGGCAGUUGGUGGGGUAAAGGCCUACCAAACCGACGAUCUGUAGCUGGUCUGAGAGGACGAUCAGCCACAUUGGGACUGAGACACGGCCCAGACUCCUACGGGAGGCAGCAGUGAGGAAUAUUGGGCAAUGGGGGCAACCCUGAACCCCAGCCAUGCCGCGUGAGUGAAGAAGGUUUUCGGAUUGUAAAGCUCUUUCGGGAGAGAAGAUGAUGACGGUAUCUCCAGAAGAAGCCCCGGCAAACUUCGUGCCAGCCGCCGC
rnacentral:rRNA from 1 species